AUUGAACGCUGGCGGCAUGCCUUACACAUGCAAGUCGAACGGCAGCACGGGAGCAAUCCUGGUGGCGAGUGGCGAACGGGUGAGUAAAGUAUCGGAACGUGCCCAGUCGUGGGGGAUAACGUAGCGAAAGUUACGCUAAUACCGCAUACGAUCUAUGGAUGAAAGCGGGGGAUCGCAAGACCUCGCGCGAUUGGAGCGGCCGAUAUCAGAUUAGGUAGUUGGUGGGGUAAAGGCUCACCAAGCCGGCGAUCUGUAGCUGGUCUGAGAGGACGACCAGCCACACUGGGACUGAGACACGGCCCAGACUCCUACGGGAGGCAGCAGUGGGGAAUUUUGGACAAUGGGCGAAAGCCUGAUUCAGCCAUGCCGCGUGCAGGAUGAAGGCCUUCGGGUUGUAAACUGCUUUUGUACGGAACGAAAAGGUUUGGCCUAAUAAGCUGAGCUCAUGACGGUACCGUAAGAAUAAGCACCGGCUAACUACGUGCCAGCCGCCGCGGUAA
rnacentral:rRNA from 1 species